rnacentral:rRNA from 1 species
UACGUAGGGGGCGAGCGUUGUCCGGAUUCAUUGGGCGUAAAGAGCUCGUAGGCGGUUCGCUAAGCCAGGUGUGAAAUCUCCACGCUCAACGUGGAGGGGCCACCUGAUACUGGCGUGACUCGAGUCCGGUAGGGGAGUGUGGAAUUCCCGGUGUAGCGGUGAAAUGCGCAGAUAUCAGGAAGAACACCCGUGGCGAAGGCGGCUCUCUGGGACGGUACUGACGCUGAGACGCGAAAGCGUGGGGAGCGAACAGG